AGGCGACCUAGCUUUGUCAUGGAGUACAUGUAUGUUUACUACAUUUAUAUGGGGAUUAAAUAAUUUUAAGGAUUUAAUUGUUAGUGCUGCAUACGGUACCAAAAUGUAAUACUUCUAGUUUACCCGCAAUGUUCAAUCCAUUUCUAAAAAUACUAACUCUUGCAAACUAAAGUGACUUCAUCGUCCUAUAGCUAUAAAUAUGGCCUACAAUGAAAUAAAAAAAACA
rnacentral:lncRNA from 7 species